rnacentral:rRNA from 1 species
UACGAAGGGGGCUAGCGUUGUUCGGAAUUACUGGGCGUAAAGGGCGCGUAGGCGGUACUUCAAGCCAGGCGUGAAAGCCCCGGGCUCAACCUGGGAACCGCGCUUGAGACUGGAGAACUAGAGUUCGGGAGAGGAUGGUGGAAUUCCCAGUGUAGAGGUGAAAUUCGUAGAUAUUGGGAAGAACACCGAUGGCGAAGGCAGCCAUCUGGACCGACACUGACGCUGAGGCGCGAAAGCGUGGGGAGCAAACAGG